rnacentral:rRNA from 1 species
GACGGGGGGGCAAGUGUUCUUCGGAAUGACUGGGCGUAAAGGGCACGUAGGCGGUGAAUCGGGUUGAAAGUGAAAGUCGCCAAAAGUGGCGGAAUGCUCUCGAAACCAAUUCACUUGAGUGAGACAGAGGAGAGUGGAAUUUCGUGUGUAGGGGUGAAAUCCGUAGAUCGUACGAAGGAACGCCAAAAGCGAAGGCAGCUCUCUGGG